GGUGGCUCAGUGGUAGAGUGCUUGCCUUGCAUGCAAAAGGCCCUGGGUUCGAUUCCUCAGCACCA
rnacentral:tRNA from 1 species